ACUCAAAGGAAUAGACGGGGGCCCGCACAAGCGGCGGAGCAUGUGGCUUAAUUCGACGCGACGCGAAGAACCUUACCAGGGCUUGACAUGCGGGGUGAAGCCGUGGAAACACGGUCCUCCUACGGGAGCCCGCACAGGUGCUGCAUGGCUGUCGUCAGCUCGUGCCGUGAGGUGUUGCCUUAAGUGGCGCAACGAGCGCAACCCCUGUCCAUAGUUGCCAGCGGGUAAUGCCGGGGACUCUAUGGAUACUGCCGGUGCCAAACCGGAGGAAGGUGGGGAUGAGGUCAAGUCAUCAUGGCCCUUAUGUCCUGGGCUGCACACAUGCUACAAUGCGCGGUACAGCGGGCUGCGAUCCCGCAAGGGUGAGCGAAUCCCAAAAAACCGCGCUCAGUUCGGAUCGGGGUCUGCAACUCGACCCCGUGAAGUUGGAGUCGCUAGUAAUCGCGGAUCAGCAACGCCGCGGUGAAUACGUUCCCGGGCCUUGUACACACCGCCCGU
rnacentral:rRNA from 1 species